UACGAAGGGGGCUAGCGUUGCUCGGAAUCACUGGGCGUAAAGCGCACGUAGGCGGACUCUUAAGUCGGUGGUGAAAUCCUGGAGCUCAACUCCAGAACUGCCUCCGAUACUGCGAGUCUCCGAGUCCGGGAGAGGUGAGUGGAACUGCGAGUGUAGAGGUGAAAUUCGUAGAUAUUCGCAAGAACACCAGUGGCGAAGGCGGCUCACUGGCCCGGUACUGACGCUGAGGUGCGAAAGCGUGGGGAGCAAACAGG
rnacentral:rRNA from 1 species